rnacentral:rRNA from 1 species
AUUAGAUACCCUAUUAUUUUUAUUGUAAAGGUAUAAAAGCUGGAGUAAUAAUAGUUAUGAUCUUGAAACUUAAAGAAUUUGGCGGUAUUAUAGUCUAUUUAGAGGAAUCUGUUAUGUAAUCGAUAAUCCACGUUGAACCUUACUUAUGUUAUUAUUCUUGUAUAUCACUGUUUGAGAAUAUACUUUUAGGUAAUUUUCUAAAUAAAAUAUUAAUUAAUAUUUCAAGUCAAGGUGCAGUAAUAUAUAAGUUGAAUAAUGGAUUACAAUAAAUUGUAUUUAUUAUGGAUUAAUUAUUGAAAAUAUAAUUUGAAAGUGGAUUUAAUUGUAAUUUUGUAAAGAUUAUUAAAAUGAUUUUAAGCUCUAUAAUAUGUACACAUCGCCCG